rnacentral:lncRNA from 1 species
ACUUUACGAAUCUAAAAAGGUCGGCAAUUUAAGCAAAGCAGAUGUCGUCCUAAAGAAAACAUCUUCCAUAGAAGAAGGCUGCAUAAUAAGACCAAAAUUACUUCAAACAAUCAGCAGGAAGUUUCUUAACUUGACAUUGCAUUUUCAAACAAUCAGCCAAAAGGUCACUAGAAGAAGGCUGCAUAACAAGAAUACCAGAAUUACCUCCUUAGUACUUGUGUCAUAGGUUCAUCUUGUCGACUUGGUAAUUGUCCGCCCCUACAACUCCAGAGCCAAGGCCCAGGCUGCGAAAUCAGGGGUCGGCUAGGUUGAUAGCGAUGAGCUUCUAGCGGCCGAGUCAAGCAACGAGGCGGAGCUUCUAAAUGGCAGGCACUGUCAGACCUGUGGGCAGCGAGGGCGGCGACAAGGGCAGGUGGCCUGCAGUCCAGCACACCUUCCUCAUGGCGCACCUCUGACUCGGGCUCAUCAAGUGCAUUGUGGCAAGAGGCGGAGAAGAAGCACAGGAGACAUGCGGCAUAACCUGAGGCAAUUAAGUGUGGAUAUAUAUACAUAUCAAUUGUUCUUGGUUGCAGGAUGAACAAACAGCACCUCCCAGGGUAAGAAAAUGACUAGAUUUGGUAGAUUGAUACCUUUGCUUGAGGGCUGGAUCGUGGAUCUUGGGGCAUAUCCCGUGGUUGCUCUGCUUCCCUCGCAGCCUGAAAAUCAAUUAGACGACUAAGUCAUAAAGUCAAAGAUCAUUGUUCUCUUUUGGUGCAACAACUUGUUAGUUACUGACCAGUUAUUCAACGACAAAUCCCUAACCAGACCAUCACCAAUAUGCCGCUUGCCAGUGACACGGGAGUGCAUCCUCUCAAGAACAUCGUUGGCCAACAAAAAAUAGACACUGCUCACAGAGCUCCAUCUUCUCCUGCACGAUCAAGGGGACCUUUUGGAAGUUAGAAAUAUAGAACAGGAAUGUAUGUCCAAAAUAAUGUCAGCAUGCCUAAGACCGUCAAUAUAAACCUAACAUGGCCACUUGUUCACUGUUGUGCGUGUGAAUGUGAUGCAACCAAACCAACCUUAAGGGAGAAUCCUUAGGCGAGUGUCCAUUCUCUUAUAGCUGCAGCCUCUUGCUUGCUCACGGGGCUGAGCUGGCCUCGAUUCGCUCAUUGGAUUGCGGUAUGGUACUCCACUCAUCUCUCAUCUGUUACAAUACAACGGGGAAGAGUUUGUUACUUGUGGUUCCAUCUGGUUGUGCUUCAUCAUGCUUAAAAAAGUGAAUGUUAUAAAAUGGACAUGACCAAAUUUAAAACAGAG